GUCGAUGAUAUUGUCCUGUCACAGCAGUACUUUUUGCACUAGUUUACUGUUGUUUCGGGACAUUUCCAUCGAC
rfam:Anopheles dirus strain WRAIR2 unplaced genomic scaffold supercont1.3, whole genome shotgun sequence.